UACGGGGGGAGCAAGCGUUGUUCGGAUUUACUGGGCGUAAAGGGCGCGUAGGCGGCCACGACAAGUCAGUGGUGAAAUCUCCGAGCUUAACUUGGAAACUGCCGUUGAUACUAUCUGCCUUGAAUAUUGUGGAGGUGAGCGGAAUAUGUCAUGUAGCGGUGAAAUGCUUAGAUAUGACAUAGAACACCAAUUGCGAAGGCAGCUCGCUACACAUAUAUUGACUCUGAGGCACGAAAGCGUGGGGAUCAAACAGG
rnacentral:rRNA from 1 species